UACGUAGGUGGCAAGCGUUGUCCGGAUUUACUGGGCGUAAAGAGCGCGCAGGCGGUCGUUCAAGUCGCGUGUGAAAUCCCCCGGGCUCAACCUGGGAAUUGCGAUGGAGACUGCAAGGCUAGAAUCUGGCAGAGGGGGGUAGAAUUCCACGUGUAGCAGUGAAAUGCGUAGAGAUGUGGAGGAACACCGAUGGCGAAGGCAGCCCCCUGGGUCAAGAUUGACGCUCAUGCACGAAAGCGUGGGGAGCAAACAGG
rnacentral:rRNA from 1 species